rnacentral:rRNA from 1 species
AUUGAACGCUGGCGGCAGGCCUAACACAUGCAAGUCGAGCGGAUGAAGGGAGCUUGCCCCUGGAUUCAGCGGCGGACGGGUGAGUAAUGCCUAGGAAUCUGCCUAGUAGUGGGGGAUAACGUCCGGAAACGGGCGCUAAUACCGCAUACGUCCUGAGGGAGAAAGUGGGGGAUCUUCGGACCUCACGCUAUCAGAUGAGCCUAGGUCGGAUUAGCUAGUUGGUGGGGUAAAGGCCUACCAAGGCGACGAUCCGUAACUGGUCUGAGAGGAUGAUCAGUCACACUGGAACUGAGACACGGUCCAGACUCCUACGGGAGGCAGCAGUGGGGAAUAUUGGACAAUGGGCGAAAGCCUGAUCCAGCCAUGCCGCGUGUGUGAAGAAGGUCUUCGGAUUGUAAAGCACUUUAAGUUGGGAGGAAGGGCAGUAAGUUAAUACCUUGCUGUUUUGACGUUACCAACAGAAUAAGCACCGGCUAACUUCGUG